UUCCGACGUUGCUCGGAGUACUCGACAAAGCAGAAGACAUGUGGGCAAUCCGAUUUUGGUCACUAAUAAUUUUGCCUGCACUACACGACGCGAGUGCUGAAUAUAUGGUAAUCCAGGAUCCGGCAGUAAUUGUGGUUCAGGAAGGUCAACCUGUGCUGCUGAACUGCAGCUACCCUGCAACAGCUGCUAGCACCCUGUUCUGGUACAUGCAAUAUCCCGGACAACCUUUGAGAUAUUUACUGAAGAGAUAUGCAACAGGAAGUGGUGGAGAACAAUCCUCUGAUUGCCCAGACCGGUUUUCGGCUGAAGUAGACAAGGGAAGUGCGACAGUUCCUUUCAGAAUAUCUGACGCUCGUAUCUCCGACUCCUCCGUAUUUUUCUGUGCCAUGAUGCCCACAUUACUGCCGAGCUGCAGAACGCCACUACAAAAACCAUUUUUAAAAGUUACAAUUUGCAGACUUUAG